CAUGAGGUUUACCGGACACGGGUCAGAUAAAAGGAACGUAUGCAUAAACUUGUUACCGUCAUGCAUACAACAGAGUGGAGCAGUAAAUUCUUCCCUUACUAUAUGCCCCGUAGCACUCAUAGAUGAGUUAAACUGCCCACUCAAGGUGACAAAUGGGAAUUCAUCUUUGCGUAUGACAGAGUUGAUUGCACCAGAGUCUACCAUAAACAACAAUGCCUGUCCCUCAAACAUUAUUUCUUCGAGAGGCAGUUUAGAGAUGUUGCCUCUCGUUCAGCAUCAAGCAAAGCAAGUUCUUCAUUGCAUAGAGCGUUUCUUUCCCUUUCACACACAUCAGAAAAAAACAGAAUUAGCAAGCAGAUAAUAUGGCAUUUGAACCGCAGAAAAAACAAGAUUGGACUUACCCGCCUCCGUACGAUGCUCCCCUUCCCCCUCCUGGCUUCAGUCGGCCCUUUCUUUACACACCGGCAGGUUUCCCGUGCUCCCUUGGGAUUCCGGUGUCCCUUUAGUUUUCAGGAAAUGGAAACAUUGUUUUUCAAAUGUCCUUUCUGUCCGCAAUACCAGCAAACAUUUUCUUUCGGAUCUCCUCUCCUCUUCUCUCAUUCUCUCUGCUGCCCGUUCUCUCGGGAGCGUUGUCCUUGCGAAGAGAAAUUGCGUUGUUAUGUUGUGGCUGUGCCCAUUCUCCUAUCUUGGCAAAAGCUGAAGAUAGCUGUUUCUCUGGUGAACGGCUUCUCUGCUGUUUCCUUAGGCCUUGCCUCCCAUUCCGUCUUUAUCUGAACAUCAUCUUUGUCCUCUUCAAAAGUGCUGUCAAGGAUGUGGAUGAUCUCUGAUUCUGGUCCACGUGGCAGUUCUUGCAUCGGCGGUGGCGGGGGUGCAGAAGGUGGUGCUUGUCGUGCUGGCUGUUGUAUCUGUGCGGCUUGUUGAGCUGGUGGUGGUGGAGGGCGACGUUGUGGAGGGGGUUGGAGGUCAUCGUCCAGAAGCGGUACCCUUGUGAAUUGGAAAUGUACCCCAGGUGGGGUACGUGCAGGUGCAUAGGGAGGAGGGAAAAAAAAAAGAAA